CAUGUACUCCCUGCAUCCGGAAAUACUUGUUAGAGAAAUGGAUGUAUCUAGACGCAUUUUAGUUCUAGAUACAUCCAUUUUUACCUAUUUCUCCAACAAGUAUUUUCGGACGGAGGGAGUAGAUA
rfam:Triticum aestivum genome assembly, contig: Triticum_aestivum_CS42_TGACv1_scaffold_321623_4BL